UACGUAGGGUCCGAGCGUUAAUCGGAAUUACUGGGCGUAAAGCGUGCGCAGGCGGUUUUGUAAGUCAGAUGUGAAAGCCCCGGGCUCAACCUGGGAACUGCAUUUGGGACUGCAAGGCUGGAGUACGGCAGAGGGAGGUGGAAUUCCACGUGUAGCAGUGAAAUGCGUAGAGAUCGGGAGGAACAUCAGUUGCGAAGGCGGCUCUCUGGACCAGCACUGACACUGAGGCACGAAAGCGUGGGGAGCAAACAGG
rnacentral:rRNA from 1 species